rnacentral:rRNA from 1 species
CGUCGAAUAUGACUCUCGUUCGGUUGUAAAUAGAGAAACACAACCAUUAGGAACUAUUGACCAUGUGGCCACCAAUAUACCAACCCAAUCUCGCAUGUGUUGAAGAACGCCCUCCGGGAUAUAAAGACCUCUUGUGGGACAAGAUAAGCAAUUUGGUUAUUACCGGGUGUUCUGGCGGUACUCAUAGUAUUAGCACGAGCUCAGGUCGUGCCCCCAGCCUUGGGUAAUACGAAGUGUGCAAGCGUUACUCGGGAGUGGGUGGAGGGUAAAGCGUGUGUAGGUGGUUGUUUAAGUAUGUUGUGAGAGCCCUAGUCUCAGCCUGUGAAUGGCAGUGGAUACUGGCCGACUAUAGUGUGGUAGAGGGUAGGGGAAUUCACCAUGUAGCAGUAAAAUGCGUAGAGAUCGGGAGGAACAUCCAUAGCGAAGGCAUCUACGUGGACCAACACCCACAUUGAGGCACGAAAGCGUGUGGAGCCAACAGCAUUAGAUACCCUGCUAGUCCACGCCCUAAACGAUGAGAAGUGGAUGUUGGGUGCAAUUUGGCACGCAGUAUCGAAGCUAACGCGUUAAGUUCGCCGCCUGGGGAGUUCGGUCGCAAGACUGAAAUUCAAAGGAAUUGACGGGGGCCCGCACAAGCGGUGGAGUAUGUGGUUUAAUUCGAUGCAACGCGAAGAACCUUACCUGGUCUUUUCAUUUCGAGAACUUUCCAGAGAUGGAUUGGUGCCUUCGGGAACUCGAACACAGGUGCUGCAUGGCAGUCGUCAGCUCGUGUCGUGAGAUGUUGGGUUAAGUCCCGCAACGAGCGCAACCCUUGUCCUUAGUUGCCAGCACGUAAUGGUGGGAACUCUAAGGAGACCGCCGGUGACAAACCGGAGGAAGGUGGGGAUGACGUCAAGUCAUCAUGGCCCUUACGACCAGGGCUACACACGUACUACAAUGGUAGGGACAGAGGGCUGCAAACCCGCGAGGGCAAGCUAAUCCCAGAAACCCUAUCUCAGUCCGGAUUGGAGUCUGCAACUCGACUCCAUGAAGUCGGAAUCGCUAGUAAUCGCAGAUCAGCAUUGCUGCGGUGAAUACGUUCCCGGGCCUUGUACACACCGCCCGUCACACCAUGGGAGUUUGUUGCACCAGAAGCAGGUAGCUUAACCUUCGGGAGGGCGCUGCCACGGUGGCCGAUGACUGAU